UACGUAGGUGGCAAGCGUUGUCCGGAUUUACUGGGCGUAAAGGGCGCGUAGGCGGCUUUGUAAGUCGGGGGUGAAAGCCUGUGGCUCAACCACAGAAUUGCCUUCGAUACUGCAUGGCUUGAGACCGGAAGAGGUUAGUGGAACUGCGAGUGUAGAGGUGAAAUUCGUAGAUAUUCGCAAGAACACCAGUGGCGAAGGCGGCUGACUGGUCCGGAUCUGACGCUGAGGCGCGAAAGCGUGGGGAGCAAACAGG
rnacentral:rRNA from 1 species